CCUUGGGGAGUGGGACACAUGGUGUAUUCAUUUCCUCUAACCUCUGUUCUAAGUUUCAUUCUGUUUUCUUGAUCCUAUGUUGAGCAUUGGGAGUCAUGUGCUUAUAAUGGGAAUUGGGAGAAGGACACUGGUGCUGUCAUUAGUGAAGCUCCCAGAUCUUCUGGUGGGCUCCAAGAGCCAGAGCAGAGAGAAUUUCCUCCAAGAGCCCCUUUGAGUCCCAUGAGAAUCAAGUCACCAACACAAGGGUUACAUCUGCUUUUUGUGAAACAGUCAUAUUUAUUCUGAACUCAGAAUGUCUAAAGAGGAAAUACUUGGAAUUUUCAUAAAUACGGGGUCUGCAGGGGGAUUACUGCCUGAAAGUCUUCCAGGAGCCCAACGAGGCAGACAUAGUACCAACAUAUUAAAGUUCUCAAUGGAAGACGCAUUGGUAUCUCAUGCAUCUUCCCUGACCAAAGGCUGGGAUUUUGAAGCGGGCCAUUUCAGGAGUCCCGAUGUCCUUCUCCGGGUCCCUUCGGAUCCGAUCUUGACAUCUUUGUUGUUGCAGAAAUGA
rnacentral:lncRNA from 1 species